GCCACUGUAGCUCAGCGGUCGUGAGUCGUCGACCUCACCGCUCAAGAGCGGCGGUUUCGUAAACCGCAGGUCGGGGGUUCGAGCCCCUCCAGUGGCUCCA
rnacentral:tRNA from 1 species